rnacentral:rRNA from 1 species
CCAGCAGCCGCGGUAAGACGUAGGGGGCUAGCGUUAUCCGGAUUUACUGGGCGUAAAGGGUGCGGAGGCGGUCUUUCAAGGCAGGAGAGAAAGGCUACGGCUCAACCGUAGUAAGCGCUUGAAACUGGGAGACUUGAGUGCAGGAGAGGAGAGUGGAAUUCCUAGGGUAGCGGUGAAAUGCGUAGAUAUUAGGAGGAACACCAGUUGCGAAGGCGGCUCUCUGGACUGUAACUGACGCUGAGGCACGAAAGCGUGGGGAGCAAACAGGAUUAGAUACCCUGGUAGUCCACGCUGUAAACGAUGAGUACUAGGUGCCGGGGGUUACCCCCUUCGGUGCCGCAGCUAAC